AUCACAGCCCGUUUUUCUCUCUCCUCUCAAGAGGUUCUCUCUCCUCUGGCGAACACCCUCUGCUAGGGUUUCGCAAUCGUGCCUCCGCCGCUGCCUCUGUCGAUCUUCCUUCACUACCACCUAGUGGACGAAGUCAUCUGCUGCAUCUACCUCACAAAGGUCGACCGGAACAUCGUCCGACGAUCACACCCUCAGUAUUUAGUUUCCCACCAGAUUUGGGUCUGGGUCUGUGCAGGGAAGACAACAGAUGACUCAAUAGGCGAGCACCAACGCCUGCUUGCAGAUCUCUGCUGGACUCGUCAAGAAGGUCAGCUGGCAAAGGCACCCGAUCGAGUCAGACUCUCUAUUCUGUCUCUCAGGUCUUUGCCAGAAAAGAAGCAGCGGUGGUUUUACCGAUGGACGAAAAAAAAACGGCGACAGGCUCUGAUCUGAAGUAAGCUUCAAGAACAUGUUGAAAACUGGUGAUUUCUUCUACAAGCCCGCCUGAUAUUUUACAAGUUUAAAAUUGGGUGUGGAGUUUGUGCGGGGGAGACCCACAUUUUCUAGUAAAAAUGCCAGAAACCACAUUAUAUUGCAAUGACUGAUUUUUAUUAAAUCAAUCCAUCCAUAAACCACAUUAUAUUUGAUUAAA